GACGAACGCUGGCGGCGUGCUUAACACAUGCAAGUCGAACGAUGAAGCCGGAGCUUGCUCCGGUGGAUUAGUGGCGAACGGGUGAGUAACACGUGAGCAAUCUGCCCUUGACUCUGGGAUAACUGCGGGAAACUGUAGCUAAUACCGGAUACGACACCUUGGGGCAUCCCAGGGUGUGGAAAGAAUUUCGGUCAAGGAUGAGCUCGCGGCCUAUCAGCUAGUUGGUGAGGUAAUGGCUCACCAAGGCGACGACGGGUAGCCGGCCUGAGAGGGUGGCCGGCCACACUGGAACUGAGGCACGGUCCAGACUCCUACGGGAGGCAGCAGUGGGGAAUAUUGCACAAUGGGCGAAGGCCUGAUGCAGCAACGCCGCGUGAGGGAUGAAGGCCUUCGGGUUGUAAACCUCUUUUAGCAGGGAAGAAGCGAAAGUGACGGUACCUGCAGAAAAAGCACCGGCUAACUACGUGCCAGCCGCCGCAGUAA
rnacentral:rRNA from 1 species